UUGCCAUAACGUGUGGCCGUUAAAAAUAGCAUUUAUGAUACAGCACAGGGCUGAUUAGCUGAAUAAAACACUUUGCGAUUCGCUAAUGUCUGAAUUGCGCUAAUACAACAUAUUAAUUGUUCGAUUUAAAUACGUAUAUACAGGGUAUGCCACUGCGAUGCGUCAUUAGUGUAAACAAAGGUUUAAUUAUCAAUUUCUGAUAUUUUCAAUUGUAGCAGACAAUAUUAAGGUAGGUACUCCUCUUGUAAACUGGCAGUAAUUUUGACGUUAAUUGGGGGCAAAAGAAAAAACAGUAUAUUGCUUGGGUGACAUAAGGGUGAAAUAUAGCUGAAAAUAUUUUUUGCCAUAUUCAGGCCUCCAAAAAAAGUGUGCGUUUAGUUUUAAGGAUCAAAUGUUGCUACACUUGCAAGACGAGUUAACUCGAUCAGUCUAAUAAGAUACCAGGCUUUGGAGACAUGAAAUUACACCUUAUCUGGACAAAAAACACUAAAUUCUCAGUUGACUGUGUUCGAUGUUUUUAAAUGACUGUUAAACAUUAUUGCGUUUGUCCGUUGUCCCUCGUAUUUAAUUUUACUUUUGUACCGGUUUACCUUUGUGCCGGUACCAGUAGUAUCGGUAGUACCAAACAUAAUCCUUUACAAAUAUUUAAGUAGUCAUUAUUAAGUACAAAAUACUUAGUUUUUGAGAAGUCAAUUCAGCCAAAAAGGUUUUUUGAUUUGCAAUAAUAUGUUAGUCAAGCGUGAGAUUGAACAAAUAUGCUGUAGCUCUUAAAUUGGUUUUGCUUUUCAUUGCACUCAGAAAUCAUCAGAAAAAAAUAAGUAUCCAGGACUCUCGAUAAUUGAGUACUAAAUGCGGAUGUUUUUAAAUAAUUGAAGUUUAGUUUUAGUGCUGAACACGCUCAUAAUGAAAUUAAUUUCAAUUCUACCUCCUCAAUAUCUGGUAAAUGGUUAAAAAAAGGUAUAAUCAACUUUUGCUACUCGUAACAUGGCCGCGAAGUCAGCCGAAUAAAAUUACAACUCUAAAAUUUCAGAAGAAAUGGUUCCUUUAAAGCAGUAGACCGUAAUAAAAAAAUCAUUAUAUUAUCAUUUGUAAAUUUUGAAAUCUCGAGGUUCAAAACAAAUGUUGAAUUGUUAUACUUGAGCAUGCACCGACAAUAAUUAGGCUAGAUAUACUAUAUAUAAUCCCUGAAUCUAUUAUAUUUCCAACCUUAAGCUUGAAUUAAAUAAAAGCACAUUAUAUGGUA